UACAGAGGCCUCGAGCGUUAGGCGGAAUCACUGGGCUUAAAGCGUGUGUAGGCGGAGCCGUAAGUGCCUUGUGAAAUCCCACAGCUCAACUGUGGAACUGCUUGGCAUACUGCGGUUCUUGAGCCACCUAGAGGCGAGCGGAACAAACGGUGGAGCGGUGAAAUGCGUAGAUAUCGUUGGGAACGCCAAUGGUGAAAACAGCUCGCUGGGGGUGUGCUGACGCUGAGACACGAAAGACAGGGGAGCAAACAGG
rnacentral:rRNA from 1 species